GCUGAAGUAAUUACACAGUCCGAACAGCAUAAACUUUCGUGAUGUUUCCAGAUACUAGAAUGGGACAAACAGUAGUAGGAAUUUAGGAUUACCGUUUUGCCAUGAAGUCUCUAUCACUAUCUAGAGUUCCUGUUAACGGACAACAGGCUUCCAGUCAAAAUCAAGAUCAGCAAUUCUAAUCCCCUUAACAGAGGUUUUGUACAAAGGAGUAUCUGGAUUGUUGUUUUGCCGCUGUUCCUGGUUUUGUUAGUUGCUGGAUGGUUUAUUUGGCCGUUGUUGUAUUUGGAUUAUAGAAUUUGUUUCGGUUUAUGGUGGUUUAUAUAAUUGUAAUAGAUGGUUUGUUUGGUUUUAUUCAGUGGAUAUUGGGAACAGUGUGCGAUCAAAUUUUGGUAGUGCUUUGAAUUCAGUCUAUAAAAGGUCAAGCACUGAGAUACAAAAGAGAAGACAACAAAUCAGUUUGGGUUCGUUCUGGAAAAGACCGGUUAAGGAGCUUAAUGAUGCAGCAGUCAAAGGAGCUUAAUGAUGCAGUAGUCAAAGUUCAGAAGGUUUACAAGAGUUAUCGAACUCGAAGAAACCUUGCAGAUUGUGCAGUGGUGGCUGAGGAGGCGGAGAUACUCAUUAGAUUCUCCGGCUGGUACUAAAGAUUUAUGAUGGAAAACUUUAGAUUCUGCAGCUCUCAAGCAGAGUUCUGUGUCAUUCUUCGAUGUUGAGAAGCCGGAAACCGCCGUUUUGUGGUGUGCAAGGGCUAGGACUAGGCUGCGAAGACUGGAAAAGGUUUGUCUAAGAAUGAGAAAGCACGAAAAUUAGCUCUUCCACAUUGGCUUGAAGCUAUUGAUCCACCCCAUCGGUUUAGGGUUUAGGUACUUAAUGCAUUGGCUCAGUAGAACUGUCCUCGAGCAUAACCCAUCGGUUUAGGGUUUAGGUACUUGAUGCAUUGGCUCUGUAGAACUGUCCUCGAGCAAAACCCAUCGGUUUAGGGUUUAGGUUGAAACUGAAUUUGAACAACAGUGGGAAGAUGAUAAGGCGGAAGAAUGGAAAAAUGCGAUUCACAAUGGUGAACAUGUUUGGGAUUAGCAGACUAUUAUUCAUGUUCACUAUUUUAGCAAUGUAGAAGAUAAAAAGCUAAAAGAGGGAACUACAAUCAAUAAACUUUUAGCAGAAAAUGCAACUUCAGAAUUCUACAAAGGGUCGAGUGAGAAACAGCUAGAGCUAGGUUUAUUAACAUUCAAGCUGCUUAUGAAUUGCUUUUAGAUGAAGAGAACAGAAGCCAAUGUGAUAGGAAGAACUGAGUGAACCCAUUCAAAGCAUUUGAAGCAUGGAUAGUGUGCCUAAUGAAAAAAUGAAAAGCUUUUCAUCAGCAAGGUGAUAUGGCAAUAACAGCUUAGACUGAGGAACAGCAGCAUGAGAUGAAUAUCCAUGCGGAUUGUGUAUCAUUAUGCAACAUCCAUCAAACACUUCUCAUUAUUGUAUUCUGUUUAUUCCUUCAUUAAAUUAUGUAUACCAAGUUUGAUUUGAAAUUAUUCUUUCUGGUGAGAUUCGUGUAACGUGCUAAUCAUACAGCUAAAGUGUUCAAAAGUUCUACCAACCUCAAAGGCUACAUAUACCUGUUGAAUUCGUUAACUGCAUGAUUAAACUAUGUUACACGAAGUUCUCCAUCAGAAUCAGUUAGUUCAAACCAAACAAAAUUUGUAAAUUUCAACAAAGACAAGUGGUAUUUCUACUAUGUAUUGUUACGAAAUCAAUCAUAAUCUCCACCGUGUAACAAUAAGUCCCGCAGCAGAGCGCGGACACUUUCUCUAGUACAUAAUUAUCAGUGACCAGCUUUGGCUUGGCCACUACAAGUUUGCAAGUUAGAUAUACGUUGUCGUUUUGGAGUUAGUGACCAACCUUAUUUUUCUGUAGUGAACUGUCAAGCGGUGGUCUCCAAAAGUUAUAGGCGUGCUUCCAAUUCCCAAAUUGUGAAUGAAAGCUGGAUAUUGUGAAUUGUGAAUUGUAAGUAUCUCUUUCAUGAGGCUUGUUGAACUGAUUCCACUCCAUGGUUGAGCUAUUUGACUUUGGUUUUUUAUUUUUUUUGGCAAUCAAAUUCACUUUGGGUUUUGAAUAGAGAGGUUUCAUGGAGCAAUUUGGUACUUGAGAGUUAAUUUUAGGGUUAUGGGUGUUUGAGUUUUGAUUUGAUUUUCAAGAUUUCUAAUUUUGAAUGAUCAGGUAAGAGUUCUGUUAAUUUUUGGAUAUGUCCAGGGACUUCAUCCCAAUGUUUGUGUUUUCAGAGUUGUCAGAAGGUAACCAUAUAUGCUUGCUUGGUUCUAUGAUAGUUGGUUAGAUGUGCUCACUUUUUUAGUAUGACUAUGUUCUUUUAUCAUUGUUAGUUAGAUUACUUUGCAUUGGCACAACCCUACUGAGGUUUAUUGUAAUGUUAAAUAUAAGCUUCUUCAUUUCUGAACUGGACAUUGCAUUGUUUGGGCUCUAUCACAGCUUGUUAGCAUUCGAUUUUUAUUUUUUAUUUUUAUUUUUAUGUAACUAAAGCAGAAGUGACGUACUUUUAGUAUGCCUAACUUGAGCAAUUGGGUUACAUUCAUCUGUCAUGUUUUUGUUAAUUUGAUAAAAUGUUGGCCUAUAUGUUUGUACUGAAGUUUAAGAACUCCGAAUGAUUUAAACUUGGAUAUUUGUGUUUUAGAAAACUGACCCUUUGUUUCCUUGUCCGUAGACUUUAAAUAUAUAUAUACAACCAGAGGCUGCAAAGAAAAAUCUCACAUUUAUUCCUCUAGCACAAGCCUGUGUGGUAAGCUACUCAUAUUACUUUUCUUCACAUUGAUUUCAUUGUUUCAAGGCAUUGCUAACUUUAUAUGGUUGGUCACAUCUAUCUGUAUAUAUCUGUAUUGAAAGGUCAGAACAUUGAUGUAACCCAAAAAAAAAGAAAGGUAAGAACAUUGUUACUCAUAGAACAAAACAUGGCUUAUAUUUUCACUUACUAUUUGUUUCAGGACAAUUGCAAUGGGUACGGGGAUAAUUUGAAAAGGUGAAAUUUACCACUGUUAAGGCUAGGAAUCCCAUGAGCUGAGCUGAUAAGGAUUAUUUUCUAAAGUUUCUCAGCUUGAUUGAGUAUAAUUAUCCCAAACCUGUGUUCAAUAUUCGUUUUGAUUUUUUUAUUAGUUAUUAGAAAGGGUCGGGGUUCCCUAUAAAUAAAUGGCUUUCUUCUGAGUAAAACCUUUUAUGGCUUUGUUCUUAUACUCUGUUCCUCAGUUUUCUUGUUCUAAAUAUAUUCCUUGUUUAGGUAUUUCAUCAUAUUAAUUUUUUGAUGCGGUAUCCUUGAAUUUAAUAUUUUUCCAUCUGGGUUCUUUUGCAAUUGUUAAAUUUCUGUUAUUGAAGCCUAUUAUAUGCUUGACUGAAAAUAGAAAAGAGUUACAAAGUUCUAUGUGGGAAACUACUGUCUUGAAAUAUUCUUAUAUGAUCAUUGGACGCAGAUUCUGGAUUUGCAAAUGUAGAAUGUGGAAUUCCUUCAGGGUUGAACUAUGAUUGGAAGAAUUGAAGACUGUGGCACUUUUGGGACAUGUCCAGUAGCUUUUUUCUUUCUUUGCUUCACGGUUUCAGGUUUAAUGAAAAUUUGUGGUUUUGUUGAUCGCCAGACUUCAACCCAGAAAUUGCUCUAGUAUUACAAAAAAGGUGACCAGGCUCAACUGGGAGGCGAGUGCACACAUACAUAUAGUGGGAAUUUAGACCCCUUUUUGACAUGUAUCAAGAUCUCUUAAGAACCUUAACAAAAUUCAAUCGAGGACCUGAACAGAUGUCAAUGGAGAAUGGUGAAGGUCAUCAUUUCAGAGGAAGAUAUAUCAAAGCACAUCAAUUACAACUUUAUGUUGCAUAAGCUUGUCCAUCUUUCUCUUGGAUUUUGUUGUCAUGGAAGUACUGAAAUUGUUUUAGGCUUUUAAAUUAGUUUUCAAGAGAUAUGUACUCGUGAACAUGAUCAAUAAGUUAUUGAUCAUGUGGAUUGUCCUCAGCAAUACAAUGUAUUUAGUUUAAUACAAUUCUAUUAUAUAGAAGUUUGAUUGGUAUUGGAGUUCCAUGUUCA